AGCUUUGGAAAAUCAAUAUCAUUUCACAAAUCUAUCUGUUCUUGGUGACAAACACAAUCUCUUCCGUUUCUUUACUUUCAUCUGCAUAAUAAAGCUCAUUCGAGCUAUUUAUCUUUUGUGUUAAUAAGCUCUUAUGAGCAAAACUACUAUGGGUUUGAAUCUGCUCACAAAUUGAUUGUUUAAGAUAUAUGGUUUCAGGCCGGCUAUUCUUGAAUACGAGAUCCGAGGGUGUGUGGCAGUGAGGAAGGCUCAACCUCCAACCCGAAGAAGUAUGUGGUGUCAAGAAAAUUGAACGAUUGACUUUGGCCAAAUUGAAGCGUGGGUUCACAUCAUUCACAUGCGUUCAAUGCAAUGAGGAGAGAACGUUGUUGGAGUUAUAUGACCGUGUACAGGUGCGCGUCUCUGAUGCUACGGAAACUUCGAAUUUUGUUGCUUUUGACACUGAAAUCACUAAACUGACCAAUAUACAUGCUGCCGACGUCUCAACCAGCAGUUGCUUAUCAAGGGAUGUGGUGGACAAAACCCUGGGAUUGGGACCUUCUACUAGGUCUACAGGGAUGGUUGCUCUGGAAAGAAGCCACAGAUUGACUAAACUAGGAAGAAGUGGAGCUUUUAAAAAAUAAAAAAGAAGUAACAAAACAGAAUGACCUGUUCGUUGCUUUUCUUUGAAAAUAACAGAGAAAUUAGGACACAGACCAAAGAACUUACGAGUAUUUAGCGAUCUACCAAAUUUCACUGUUUGCCUUUUGAUUGUGUAAUUUAUGGACUAUCCUAUCCCUAUGUUGGAUAGUGUCAAAACCUACGGCUACAUGUAGACAAAAUCGAGUAAAAGAUCUCAUAAGAUCUUAUCUUCUGCACCCAAAUCUU